UACGUAGGGGGCAAGCGUUGUCCGGAUUUAUUGGGCGUAAAGUAGCGUGUAGGCGGCUAGGUAGGUCCGUUGUGAAAACUCGGAGGCCUCAACCUCGAGAACGCCGAUGGAAACCAUCUGGCUAGAGUCCGGAAGAGGAGAGUGGAAUUCCUGGUGUAGCGGUGAAAUGCGCAGAUAUCAGGAAGAACACCCGUGGCUAAGGCGGCUCUCUAGUACGGUACUGACGCUGAGACGCGAAAGCGUGGGGAGCGAACAGG
rnacentral:rRNA from 1 species